UACAGAGGUGGCAAGCGUUGUUCGGAUUUACUGGGCGUAAAGGGUGCGUAGGCGGUCUUGUGUGUCGGAUGUGAAAUCCCACGGAUCAUCCGUGGAACGGCAUUCGAAACUGCAGGGCUAGAGUGCAGGAGAGGAAGGCGGAAUUCUCGGUGUAGCGGUGAAAUGCGUUGAUAUCGAGAGGAACGCCGGAGGCGAAGGCGGCCUUCUGGACUGCAACUGACGCUGAGGCACGAAAGCUAGGGGAGCAAACAGG
rnacentral:rRNA from 1 species